GAUGAACGUUGGCGGCGUGCCUAAUACAUGCAAGUCGAACGGAGAGUGUAGCAAUAUACUUUUAGUGGCGAACGGGUGAGUAACGCGUUGGUGACCUGCCCCGAAGCGAGGGAUAACAGUUCGAAAGAACUGCUAAUACCUCAUGUGAUCACCGGUUUUAGAAUCUGGUGAUUAAAGGUGAAAAUCACUUCGGGAGGGGCCUGCGUCCCAUCAGCUAGUUGGUAAGGUAAUGGCUUACCAAGGCGAUGACGGGUAGGGGACCUGAGAGGGUGGCCCCCCACAAUGGAACUGAAACACGGUCCAUACACCUACGGGUGGCAGCAGUAGGGAAUAUUGCAAAUGGGCGAAAGCCUGAUGUAGCAACGCCGCGUGUGCGAUGAAGGUCUUCGGAUUGUAAAGCACUUUUUGGAGGGAUGAGGAAGGACAGUACCUCCAGAAUAAGCCUCGGCUAACUACGUG
rnacentral:rRNA from 1 species